rnacentral:rRNA from 1 species
AUUGAACGCUGGCGGAAUGCCUUACACAUGCAAGUCGAACGGCAGCACGGGUGCUUGCACCUGGUGGCGAGUGGUGAACGGGUGAGUAAUAUAUCGGAACGUAUCCAAUAAUGGGGGAUAACUAAUCGAAAGGUUGGCUAAUACCGCAUACGCCCUACGGGGGAAAGCUAGGGACCUUCGGGCCUGGCGUUAAUGGAGCGGCCGAUAUCUGAUUAGCUAGUUGGUGGGGUAAUGGCCUACCAAGGCGACGAUCAGUAGCUGGUCUGAGAGGACGACCAGCCACACUGGAACUGAGACACGGUCCAGACUCCUACGGGAGGCAGCAGUGGGGAAUUUUGGACAAUGGGCGCAAGCCUGAUCCAGCCAUUCCGCGUGAGUGAAGAAGGCCUUCGGGUUGUAAAGCUCUUUCGCAAGGGAAGAAAACUUAUCCUCUAACAUAGGAUGAGGUUGACGGUACCUUGAUAAGAAGCACCGGCUAACUACGUGCCAGCCGCCGCCGUAACAC